rnacentral:rRNA from 1 species
AAGGAAUAUUGCUCAAUGGGAGAAACCCUGAAGCAGCAACGCCGCGUGGAGGAUGAAGGGUCUAUGACUUGUAAACUCCUGUAAAGAAGGAAAAAAUUCCCAUUAGAUGGGAGAUGAUGGUACUUCUGGAGUAAGCCCCGGCUAACUACGUGCCAGCAGCCGCGGUAAUACGUAGGGGGCAAGCGUUGUCCGGAUUUACUGGGUGUAAAGGGUGCUCAGGCGGAUUUGUAAGUCAGAGGUGAAAUCUUACAGCUUAACUGUGAAACUGCCUGCGAUACUGCAAGCCUAGAGUAUGGAAGAGAGUGAUGGAAUAUCUGGUGUAGCAGUGAAAUGCGUAGAUAUCAGAUAGAACACCAAUGGCGAAGGCAGUCACUUGGUCCAUUACUGACGCUAAAGCACGAAAGCGUGGGUAGCAAACA